rnacentral:rRNA from 1 species
GAUGAACGCUAGCGGCAGGCUUAAUACAUGCAAGACGAACGGUAACUGUUGUAGCAAUACAAUAGCUAGAGUGUCGUACGGGUGCGUAACACGUAUGCAACCUACCUUGUACAGGAGGAUAGCUCGGGGAAACUCGAAUUAACCCUCCAUAAUAUAAUUAGAAGGCAUCUUUUGAUUAUUAAAACUGAGGUGGUACAAGAUGGGCAUGCGACUGAUUAGUUAGUUGGCAGUGUAACGGACUACCAAGACGAUGAUCAGUAGGGGACCUGAGAGGGUGAUCCCCCACACUGGCACUGAGAUACGGGCCAGACUCCUACGGGAGGCAGCAGUAGGGAAUAUUGGUCAAUGGGUGAGAGCCUGAACCAGCCAUGCCGCGUGCAGGAAGAAGGCGUUAUGCGUUGUAAACUGCUUUUGCCAGGGGAUAAAAUGACCGUGCGCGGUUAAUUGAAGGUACCUGGUGAAUAAGCCACGGCUAACUACGUGC